AUCGUUUCUUGGCCUUUUGGUUAAGAUCAAGAGUAAUAUCUGUUCUUAUCAGUAAAUACACAGGCCUUUGAGUCAAUCACCCUUUCCCUGUUCAUCUUCUGAAAUCCUCUCAUUUCCCUGGGAGACGAAAUCCAAAUGCUAUCUCUGACUGCUCUUU
ensembl:snRNA U2 U2 spliceosomal RNA